AUGGUUGGCGCAUACUCUGGUGUGAAGGUGGGACUCCGCGAAGACGUCGCACAGUACCUGGAAUUGUGUAUUGUGCACAACCUUGUGCUGAGACAAGGGAAAACCGCCAUCUUAUUGCUCACUCAAUGCCUCCAUAACACCAAUUUUUCACUCCCGGGCUUUGCAGCAGCCCGGUGUACUUUCCAUAAUACGCCUAUUACACAGGCAUCCUCACUAGCCAUCGCUUACACAAUUACCCGUGUGAUUUUCUCCAUCCCGGCGUGGUUGCCAUCGUCUUCGGUCCCCACCCAGUAUAACUUCGGGAACCCAUGGAAACAGAUGACAUGUGCUAAUAACAGCAUCUUUGGGAAGAUGAUUUUGCUUUUCAUGAAGAAAGAAUGUUUUGAACUGUUGUACUGGAAUUUCAGUGCCUGCAAUGUUGAAGGUGACACCAGCUCGGAUAUGUAUUGUUUGGGGGUCAUAAAUGACCUUUGGAGCAUUUAUAAAAGUGGUAGUUACAGAAAACUUAUUAUCCUGAUGCUGAGAAGCAAACACUUUAAGAGGAAGUCAGGCUGACUUGUGAUGAAAGAUGAUGGAGACAAAUCCUAAACAGGGCUUCCUGUUUGUUUAAACCUCCAACCCAAGAGAAAAUCACUUCCAGUUUCCCUGGUACAAUCAUGGUAAUAUAUUUUCUUUUUAGAUUGUUAGCAGACUGUUUCGCUUGUACUUGGCAUUUCAAUCAUAGUGAAAGAGGUGAAACCCAAAAGACUCAGUGAAUUCUCGUUAUAAAUCUAAAAUCAGAUGGCCUUAACAAUUAACCUCUGCUUCUUGUCCCUUUCUCAUUCCUAACAUAUUAGUCAUUAAUUCAUAUGUAUUGAUUAUCUGCUCUGUGGACAGGUUUGAAAUAGCUACUAAGAUGUAUAUAAAAGAAGCUAAAGCUUCUGUCCUCAGAGCUCAUGCUUACAAAAAUAAUCAUGUUGGAAUAUAGAUAUAAAUUUAAAUUUAAAGGUGGUAACUCCUCUGAAAGAAUGAUUAGAUUAUUCUCCUUGUAAGAUGAGUGCUUGUGCAAAGUGAGAUUUUUAAUUUUGUAAAUGAUCUUUUGAAAACAAAACAGUAGGAAAGAAAAGAAGUUGGGGAAGAGUAUAAACAUAUUUUGGAGGAAGACUUAGUUGUUUUUCUUAUUAUCCUGGGACAUCCAAAUCACAUUUAGGCAGGGGAUUAAAAAUAGGAAAUUGACCUCAGCAUUAUUUCUACAGGAAAAAAUUUAUUUAAAGUUAGCUAAAGAUCAUUAUUAUAUCUUAGGAACAUAUUUGACUGUUACUAAUUUUUUCUAAUAUUCUUUACAUUAUAAACUUUAUUAUCAGUAUUAAACAUUUUUUUUAAAAAGGGAGGAAUGGCAAGAUUUGACACCUAGAACAAUUGAUUAUUAGAAGAUGAAAUCAUGCUAAAAUAGUAAUGUAAGUUCUGUGAAUAAUACAAAUGGUCAUGAUACUUUUAAUGUGAAUUACCCUAACUCAUGCUAAUUGCUGGGCUUUCCUGGUGCCUUAGACGGUAAAGAAUCCACCUGCAAUGCAGG
ensembl:lncRNA